rnacentral:rRNA from 1 species
UACAGAGGGUGCGAGCGUUGUCCGGAAUCACUGGGCGUAAAGGGCGCGUAGGUGGCGCUGCAAGUCGGUGGUGAAAGCUCGACGCUCAACGUCGAGUCGGCCAUCGAAACUGCAGGGCUCGAGCACUGUAGGGGCAGAUGGAAUUCCGGGUGUAGCGGUGGAAUGCGCAGAUAUCAGGAGGAACACCGGUGGCGAAGGCGGGUCUCUGGGCAGUAACUGACGCUGAGGAGCGAAAGCGUGGGGAGCGAACAGG